rnacentral:rRNA from 1 species
UACGUAGGGGGCAAGCGUUGUCCGGAAUCAUUGGGCGUAAAGAGCGUGUAGGCGGCCAGCUAAGUCCGCUGUGAAAUCUCGAGGCUCAACUUCGAGCUGUCGGUGGAAACUGUCUGGCUAGAGUCCGGAGGAGGAGAAUGGAAUUCCUGGUGUAGCGGUGAAAUGCGCAGAUAUCAGGAAGAACACCCGUGGCGAAGGCGGUUCUCUGGGACGGUACUGACGCUGAGACGCGAAAGCGUGGGGAGCGAACAGG